UACGUAGGGUGCAAGCGUUAAUCGGAAUUACUGGGCGUAAAGCGUGCGCAGGCGGUUGUGCAAGACCGAUGUGAAAUCCCCGGGCUUAACCUGGGAAUGGCAUUGGUGACUGCACGGCUAGAGUGUGUCAGAGGGGGGUAGAAUUCCACGUGUAGCAGUGAAAUGCGUAGAGAUGUGGAGGAAUACCGAUGGCGAAGGCAGCCCCCCUGGGAUAACACUGACGCUCAUGCACGAA
rnacentral:rRNA from 1 species